GCGCUUGGUGAUUUUUGCGGUUGCGACUGUUCUACGUUAAACUACCUUGUUGUUAUCAAAACGGAGGCGUCAUCAACAACAAUUGCACGCUUCCUUGUCACCGAGCGUCAGCCAAUGUUUAAAGAGCCUAUGCCAUUCUUGAAGACUAAUCUUCCAAAUCAACCUGGAGAAGGGGUUGAAGAAAAUGGGAGCAGUGAAGCGAACAACGGCCCAUCGCAAGAUUUUAGCGCUGCUGAAGGGCUUCAAAUGAGUCUCCACAGAAAUCCCUUGAAUCUGUAUGUUUUUUUAUGAAAAUACAGUUUGCACCUCAAGACAUC